rnacentral:rRNA from 1 species
AUUGAACGCUGGCGGCAUGCUUUACACAUGCAAGUCGAACGGCAGCGCGGGCUUCGGCCUGGCGGCGAGUGGCGAACGGGUGAGUAAUACAUCGGAACGUGCCCAGUAGUGGGGGAUAGCUCGGCGAAAGCCGGAUUAAUACCGCAUACGACCUGAGGGUGGAAGCGGGGGAUCUUCGGACCUCGCGCUAUUGGAGCGGCCGAUGGCAGAUUAGCUAGUUGGUGGGGUAAAGGCCUACCAAGGCGACGAUCUGUAGCUGGUCUGAGAGGACGACCAGCCACACUGGGACUGAGACACGGCCCAGACUCCUACGGGAGGCAGCAGUGGGGAAUUUUGGACAAUGGGCGAAAGCCUGAUCCAGCAAUGCCGCGUGUGUGAUGAAGGCCUUCGGGUUGUAAAGCACUUUUGGCGGGAACGAAAAGGACUGUGCCAAUACCACGGCUCGAUGACGGUACCCGCAGAAUAAGCACCGGCUAACUACGUG